UAAGAAAGAAUGUAACCAAUUAAAUUCCAACUAAAGUCAAUAACACCAAUAAUUCUUCAAAGUUCAUGACGGGCGCAUGAACAUUAUUAUUUCAGAACAAUAAACAAAACCAAAAGGAAGUAAAUCAGUACUGUAAUUUGUUAUAUUCUAUAUAACUCUAUUAGAAAAAUCAUCAGAACAUAUAUAUAAAUGAUCCAAACAAAUUAAGAGAAUCAAAUCUCACCCUUACCCUAGCUAGCUACCUAUCUAUCUAUAAUUCGUGUAAUGAGUAUAUUUACACGUCCCAACCAAACUGGAAACAGAGAAAGAACAAAUUACUUCAAGUAUCUGCUGCUAACAAAUAGAAGGAACAAAACAAAAAGAAAGAGACCAACUAAACCAAUGACUUGUUGAAAUCUGGCUGGUUCUGUUCUGUGUGAAUAAUGUUGUUUGCGGUUGGUUUAGGUGUUGAGGUCGUUGGUUCCUUUGCUGGGUCCGGAAGGUGGAUUCGUCCCUUUGGGAAGAAGAUUCAAGACAAGGGGCCCAUACUUGGCGGCUGCUGCAGCACCAAAUCUAGGAGCAGCAGGAAGAUGAGAAGAAGAAGCUUGAUCUGUAUUGUCUGUGUGGCAUGGAAACACAUGCUGCUGAGGACGGAGAUGAUGAGGAGCCUCUUCGUGUGAUGGGUUUUCUGGUAAAAACACAUUGUGUUUGUUGUGUGCUUUAGGAAGCUCGAGGUGAUGAAGCUGGUCAUUCAAGAGCCUGGCAGAUGAACAAGUUGACACAGCUAGUAAUAUAAGCAAAACGCACAGCAUUUGUGCCAUUCUUGGGAAUAAAAUGAGGAGUUUUUUGGUGUGAAAUGUAAAGGCUAUUAGGCUAAGCUGAGAGAGUUUGGUGGUGUGUUGGAGAAGAGGGGGAGGUUGAUGGGGAUUUUAUACGGGAAGCGAGGGAAUUAUUAAGUGUUGAAUUUGAAAACCUCAAACUGUUGCUGCGCGUUGCGUUGCGUUCGUUUGGACAAGUUCGUCUUCCAUGACGUGAGAAGCUCAAACUCGUAGGGACCAUAAUGUAUUGGCAAGGCAAAGACUUGUGACGCGCUACUACGACUUACUUGGAAGUUUUUUCGGUCGAUUAUGACCUACUUGGAAGUCCACAUUCAUAUACUGUGAAUCACUGAUAUCUAUAAUUUUCCUCAAAUGGGAAGUUUCUUGCCAUAACACACUGUGUUGGUGUAAUUUUAGUCGGAUUGACUAGUACUCUUGACUAAUGAAUUGUAUGUUAUAAAUAUCUCAUUGGCGUUAUAUAUAUAAUUGAAAUAAUAAUGAUAUUUGUUUGUGUGUGAGCAAAUUCUAACCAUUGAUUUUAAUGUUGCUAGGCCCUACUCCUUUCCGGUGGUGGCGUGUGGGGAGGAGUGAGAGUGGGAGAAGCUUUACAGUUACAGCCAGAUUUGGAUGGCUACACAUACAUGUCAGCACAGGGAGGUUUGACCUAGUAAAAAUCUGCCGACUCCUAGCUAGUCCAUCAACAGUCCGCGUUUGAGAGGGUACGCGAUUCGUCUCGCGCAAGUUAGCGUCUUCGCCACACAACUUCAAUUUUUAUCUUUCUUUUCUACACCCACCGUCACACAUUUUCUUUGUGGAGGUUUGGGCCUGACAGUACAGAAAACUGAUUACCAGGCCUUCUUCGAAAUUUUAUCUACGCCACAAAAUGGAGAAAAAUUUACUUGUAACGAUGCUAUUCUCGUUGCAUGAAAAUUUCUCCGUAAAAUGAUUCGAAGAAUGUAAAAUUGUCCAUUUUGCCCACACAAAAGAUAAUUGAUAAAGAAAAAUUCACUAAUAUAUUUAUAAUAUUUUAAUUCUAUACUUGUAUCGCUUGAACAAACAAGCAACAAGGUCUUUAUGGACUACGGGUUUGCUUAGAGAAAUUGCACUUUAAUUUUGUCACGACUUGAUUGGAUUCAAUGGACCAGUAAGUCAAGUGUGACCCAAUAGAAACAAUAUUGGACCAUAGGGAGACUGACUCCAUGAAAAAUGAAAUGAAUAAGAGGAAUCAGAUACAUGAGCCUCCCCUCACCUAACCCUUUUUUUUCCGACGAACACCUAACCCAUUAAAUAUGUUUAGUUUGGAGACAGGCAUUGGAGGGAUUAAACCGCGUUGAUGUCAUGAAUUCACCAAAUAGUAAAAGAACAAGUUGAAAUUUGAAACCUAGAAUGGAAAUUUGGGCUUCCUGUCGAUCCUAGUUCCUUCCCAGACAUCAAUGCAUUAUGCACGCAUACACACACAAUCAAACAUGUUGAAUCAGCCAUGCUUGUAAGAAACUUGUCAUUUUCUUUUCUUCCAGAAAACAUGUAAUUCAAGUUAUUAAUAGCAGUUUUCUACGCAUUCAACAUGUGUGUUAGUAUUUUCCUUUCCUAAUAUGUUAGGACUUAAUAUUUAAUAUUAGAAAAAUAACAUAUUUUAGAGUGGUUUAAAGAGCUCAUGGGCACCCUUCCCUUACAAGCUAGUUUUUAGAGGCAAGUUCUACCCAUGAGUUCUUAACAUUUGGUAUCGUAGUCUAGUUUCAUCAUGCAACUGGGUCCAAUUCAACGGAAGAGGUGACCUAUAUGAUGGAUUAAGAUGAUCAAUGUUAUAUACGAGCAUGAAAUCGAGUCAUUGAAUACUGAUAGUUGAGUGAAGCCGCCUCAAAUGAAGGAAAUAGCUAUCACCAAGUCAAUGUCGAUAGAGUGGGCCAACGAGGACGUUGGGUACAGAAGUGUGAUUGAAUGUUAGAACUCAAGAUCCCACAUUGAAAAAAUAGCAUAUCCUAAAGUGGUUAAAGAGCUCACGAACACUUUCUCUUUACAAACCUUUUAGGGGCAAGUUCUACCAAUAAAUUCUCUUCUAACCAAAAAUGAAAAAGAUCCAACAUAAAAAUAUAAUAAUGCAAAUAGGUAUAGGUAUAGGUAUAGGUCGUUAGUGAACAUUUUUAAUUUGACGGUGUCCCCAUUUUAAUGAUGAAUCUAGCUUGUGAGUGUAAACCAACCAGUUUGUAUGUGCCCCUACACGUGACACAUGUAGCUAGCUAUCAAUCUCAUAGAGAAAAUGGUGUCAAUAAUCUAGAACCCAUUUGGCAGAUGGUUAUUAUUUAUUGUUGAAAAUUGGCACGAAAUUAAAACCUAUCAGAAUGAACAGAGAGCUUUGACUAUGUCGUCUAUGUCAUUCUCACGCGGUUGUUUCGUCACUCAGGACAUGAUAGUUAAUUUAGGAUUAACAAAACCUUUAAGUUUAAACUCAUCCUUUGGACGUUAUUAGUAGUGGAGAUUGUGUGAGUCAUUACCCAAUAAUCAUCAGUUUCCAGGCUCUACAAGAAUGAAACUUUAUUUUUCUCCUUUUUGUUGUUGUUGAGGUCAAUGGCUCAAUGCCCACAGAUUUGGACCGGCAACCGAAAGUUGAAAACUCCUUUCUAAAGUAAAGGAAGAAGAAGGAGAGAAUAUUGGCCCCUUUAAUCCCCCUCUUAAUCUUAUCUUGAUUGUCAAAAAGAAGAGGAAUUUACAUCCAUUAUUCUUUUGUCUCAAUCUUAUCAUUUCCCUUUCCACAUAUACUUAUGUAUUUUAUAUACACUAUAAAGUUUAUGGACACGAGAAACAACUUUAUGUCACUAAUUGUAUACAAUUGCGCAUACACCCAAAAAAAUUUCUCUUCCCAUUCAGUUUUAUGAUUCAGAAUUCGUCGGACUUAUAUGAUUAUGUCACAUACAAAUUAAGAUCCACAUGAAGCGGCCAUGAUAAUCAGAUCCUAGUCUGUACACUGAAAGCAAUGAACAUUCAGUAAUCAAUCUAAUGCAUGGUUCUUCUACUCCCCACCCCCAUAUUCAUUAAAACCCUAGCAAUGUUUGUCUGAGAGUGAGAAAGUGCAAAAUUGAAAUUUAAUUUAUAUGAGUGCAAUUUAUCAUCACGCUGAGCAAACAUCUCUGUCUUUUCGUAGGUUUUAAGUAUAUAAACAAGUAAACAUGGCCUAACUCCUCAUGGUCCCCAGUAAUAAUGGACGUACUGUGGUCAAAGACUAGAAAAUUAUUUAUAUACAAAAGAACAAUUAUACUUCUUUAUCAUUUUGCUCAUUGUCAAAGAAAAUAAACAAAUUAAAGCAAUGCAUGUCUCCACCACAUCAACUCUAUAAGUUGGUCUUCUGGCCAACUUUUUAUGAAGCUUUAUCGCUCUCUAGAUUGGAUGACAAGACAUUGACACCAUGAUGGUGCAUGCACUAAAUUAAUAAAUCAAAAUGAGCAGCAUGGCCCUAACCUAACCGCCUCCUUUUUAAACUUUCUUCUUCUCCCUUUUCUCGAUUCUCAUCAGCCAUAUCGAUUUUAUAUUGAAAGAUGGGUAGGAGGGAGCUCUUGAAUGCGCUACUAACUUUGCUGCUUCUUCUGUCCAUGGUGUUUCACAGGGGAGCGGCUAUGAUCAGACGCAUUGGCAAGUAUCAACAACCGGGAAGCACUAGCCUAAAAGCGUCGAGAAAGGGUUUGGAUGUGAAAGACGAAUACACGAAAGAAGCCGGUGACAAUAAUGGCAGCGGAGAUUAUGAUUUUUAUGGAGGGCACGGUGAUGUCCCGAGCCCCGGCGUUGGUCACUAGAUCGAUCAUGAAGUGAGUCUGCUAGCGCUGUGCGUUUUUUGUUUUUGAUGCGUUUCACUUUAUAUAUGUACCACCUUCUUGUUGAUACAUAAUGAUAUCACAUAUACUUUCCCCCAUGUAUACUAUAAAUACAUAGCUCGCUAGGAUUUCUUCUUUAUAUGUUUUCAAAUUAUCUGGGAGUUUUUGGUAAUUGUGUUGUAUAUGUAAGAUAUAUACAUUAUUUUGUUAAUAAGAGAGUGAAUAAAAAUGUGUGGAUUUGAGUUUGAAAAAGCAUGUAGUUUUCUAACCAAUCGAUGGCUGAAUUGGGUCAGGGUGGCCUUGGAGUUUCUACCCAAUCUUUGGUAUUUGCCUAUACGUGAGAAUCAGCAGCAGAAAUUUUACGACCAAGGAAAAGAAAGUUGUUGUAUCCCACAUCGACAGGUGGAGAAAAGAAAGACUUGGAGAGUUGAUAUGAAAGAGAUUGCCAGACAUUGACGAACUCAUACCUUUCUCGGCCUUUUGGCUAAGAUCAAGUGUGGUAUCUGUUCGUAUCAGUUUAAUAUCUGGUAUGUGGGCCAAUGGCCCACCUCCUUUAUUAAAUUAAUUUCUUUAGAGGGAGAGCCCACCACAGUAGCUUGCUGCUGUGGUUCUCGCACGUUGCCCAAGUGAUGCACGACUGCAUGGGCCUGGCGUACCCCAUUAAAUCUAGUCUGAAAAUUUGAUGGCUGAACCCCAAUGGGCUUUUGAUUUGUGGCUAAACCAAGGCAACUAUUUCCUGUGCAGAACGAAAAAGUUGGAAAGCCCACGACACUCAAUCAAAAUUGCUGUGAGACUAUAAGGAAAAACAACUAAUGAGGUGCUUUUAUUUUCUAAUUAUGCGGGAAUUAAUUUCGAAGAGGCGCUAGGUUUAAUGAUUAUGCCGGAAUUAGUACCAACAACACUUUUAAUAAAGAAUUUACUAAAAGACAAACUGCUUAGUAAAAGAAAAUUCACCGAUAUAAGCCCAAAUUAUAGAUAAUAAAAGAAGUGAAAUAAUAUUGCAUUAUUGAAAAGACAUUAAUGCCCUUAAUACUUUUGUAAUGUAGCAGGGUGGAAACGACUUUAUGUAUUUUGUAUUAUUCUCAUAUCGCCUGCAAGGUCUGUUGUCGUAUACGGAAGUAUUUGCCAAUAGGGGCUCAAAUUCUUGUCCCGACUUUAUGUAUUUUGUAUUAUUCUCAUAUCGCCUGCAAGGUCUGUUGUCGUAUACGGAAGUAUUUGCCAAUAGGGGCUCAAAUUCUUGUUCCAGCUCCAUAUAAUGGUUACACUCGAGGCCAAUAUGAGAGCAAGAAUCUACUUGAAAAACAGCAGGAAAAAGGUUGAUAUUUCCGUCGUCGACAGGUUGAGGUGAGGUGAGAAUCAGUCGGAGAGUUGGUAUAAAAGAGACGGCCCGGCAAGUUUACAGUCGUACUUUUCUCAGCCUUUUGGCUGAAAUUACGUGUAGUAUUUGUUCUUGUUAGUUUAAUCUCUAGGGGGAGAGUCUAUCACAAUAGCUUGAUACUAGGGUUCUCGUGCGUCGCACCCCAUUGAAUCUAGUCUUCGAAAUUUAUAGCUCAAGCCCAAUGGUCCCUUGAUUUUCGACUAUGUGGUGUGGCCUAAGCUUGCUCGUUGUGCCACGUAUCUGAUCUCAACCUGACCCUACGAUAAUGAAAUGAGAAUAAUUUUCUAACACUUCGUUGACUAUGUGUUGGAAAAUAAAUUGAAUUAAGCUAUAAUUUUCGGACAUUUUGUUGACCAAUUUGGAACACUUUACUAUCAAGCGAUGUGAGAUACUGUUGACAAUGAUAGUCUAAAUUAUCGCUAAUUGAUGUAAGACGAAUGCUAGCAACAUACUUUCUAACAUUUUAUUUAUUUAUUUAUUUUAAAAAGUGGUGUAUUAGUAUUCCCGCUCUUGUCUCGCGUAUGAUGACAGGGGAAUACUUUGGUUCACAAAUUCUUAGAACAGAAUCAAUAUCCCAAACUUAACCACGUUCUUCUUGUUUUUUAAUGAUUAGAUAAAUAUAUAUCUACAUAUAAGAUACUGUCUCUUUACUGAUCAGUGAAUAUUGAGGGACAUUCGCAAUGGUCGGUUGUUGGACACUUUACCAUUUGGUCGGUUCAUUCAUUUGGUCAGUUAAUCUUCAUAUGCACACAAAUCCGCCAUGAUUCACUGUCAUCAGCUUUUUCAUGCCAUCCAAAUAUAAACUUCAUAUCCAUCUCCUAUCAUACCAAAAUAAACACCAAAUCUUACCCAAUACCCAGUUGCCAGCUGUUUGUGGCCACUGAGUGUUGAAGCUCAACUGCCCAAGUAGUAGUGUUAAGUGCCUCAUUUGCUGGAUUUACCAUGUUCCAAUAUCCAGAGGUUCACGCUGAUUUGCUGGUGUGAAAAUGUGAGGUAAUAUUUCUGUUUUUGCAAAUAAAUGCAUGAUGGUUUAUAGUUACAAAGGCGGAAUCUUGAAGAAAAUAGCUGUAUUUUUGACAAAAAUGGAGGUCACGAUCUUCUUUUUAUUUUUAGUAUGGAGAUCUCAAUCCUAAACCCAGUAAAGAAUGAAGAUAGCUGAUGCAAUCAAAAAGUGGUUUAGCUAAAAUGUAAAAAAGGACAAAGUGGGUCAGAAAGGGGACGCCCACACUGGCCACUGGGUGAUAGAAAAACGGAAAUGACUGAGCCUUUCAGCCUCCAUGUUUUUUGUCAUGAAGGGUUGGGAAAAAGUUAGCUCCUUUAAUACAUUUGAGCUAGCAUUAGCAUGUUCAGCAGCACUUGGCUUCACAUGGGUUUGCCCUUUAUAACAUCCUUCUUUGCAAAAUCUCUUUUUUCUUUAGCCUUUGGUUGCUCUUGCAUUCGUCACUAAUACUAUAUAUAAGUUUCUUGAAAUUCAGGUUUGGUGUGCUCUUAAUUUUGUUUGUUGAUUUCUUGAGUUAGCUGCAAACCCAUUUAACAUUUGUUUAGUGACAGGGAUAGUUUACCCUUUCUGUUUAUUUCUUAUUUUUCUUUUUCUUUUUUUGGUGAAAAUUUUCUAUAUACAGAACAAGCUUUCAUGGUUUAGAUAGCAAAAGAGACUGAAGGGGUGUAACAAUUAGGUGAGAAGUUGGAAAGACCAGAAACUCAUAAAUGAAAUUAUUAACUAUUCAAAGGCUGUGGGUGUGAGAGAGAAAAAAGGUAGGGAUAAGAUCAGAACGUAAGAAAUGGUCCUUGAAAUCAGCUUUGUUUGCGCGGGCACUAGUUGGCUGAUUUAUCUUUUUCUCUUGGGUGUAUGCAACUGUUAACAAUUCACGUGGUUUUGCCUUUUCGUUGCCAUUACUUAGUUUUUUUUAUUUGGCCAUCUACUAAUUUUCUCCUAUUUCGUUAUGUUUUUCAUGUGAAAAAUGUAAAGUUUAGGUCCACAUGCAUUACUGAAUACACAGUUAAAUUGAAGUUCCUUCAUCUUUGUCCUAUAGAAGGUUGACAGCGACAUGUCAGUUUUAUUUUGCCUACCCUACCAACCAUUAUAGGUUGGGGAGGGUAAGACAAUAGUGACUGGAAACUGCUGCAUAGAGAACGAAUGAGGGCCCCUUCUCCAUUUAUGAGUCUUUAUCUGAAUAAUUCUAGUGCAGGUGAUCACAACUUCUUUUUAUUUUUGGUAUUUGCCUCUUUGCCAAAGGUUGUGGGCUUUUGGGUUUCAUCUCUUUGAGUUUUCAUUCUUAUCCUGGAAAUUUGCAACAAAAAAAAAGUUCUCAGCUUUCAAAAAUUUGGUGGGAAUGUGAUACAGGUAUGGAUGUCAUGUGGGCUUAUUGGAAAGUGGGGGAAUAUGCCCUUUUAUCUCCUCUAUUUCCGGGAAAGUAGAGGGAGCUGGGUGGGAGUUCUUUGAAGUGUGAUUAUCCCAUGAAAUCUCUUUAGCUGGAUUUUAUAUAAUUUAGAUUCUGUUCGAGUUAACCAAUAAAACUUGUACUGUCUCAAUGCAGAUCUGCAGGUAGCUGCGUCCAUCUGAUGAAAUCUAGUCUCAGAGUUGAAAGUUGAGCGCCAUGGAUCUCGAGAGAGUGAAGUGUUGGGACACUUCAAAGGUUAGUGCUUUAUCUUCAUAAGUUCAAUUUAAGUGUUUCUUUGCUUAUGGGCAUUAUAACCCAUUUGUAGUUUCUGCCGGGUAUGGUUUUAUAAGCAAAUUAUGUUUGAAAAACUUGGUAAAUGAUUAUAACUUUAGCAGUUCAUUUGGUUCUAGAAAUGAACUGAAUUCUCAGAAAGCUGUAUGUUGAACUGCAUUUCAGAAGGACUCUUGGAAGAAUAUUCUGCUUUUAGCCUACCAGAGUCUUGGAGUAGUAUAUGGGGACCUUAGCAUUUCUCCUUUAUAUGUCUACAAGAGCGCAUUUGCAGAAGACAUUCAACAUUCAGAGACCAAUGAAGAGAUUUAUGGUGUACUUUCUUUUGUCUUCUGGACUCUUACUUUAGUCCCUCUGUUCAAGUAUGUCUUUAUUGUCCUUCGAGCUGAUGAUAACGGAGAGGGUAAGUACUGAACAACUGAACAAUGCUUUUAUUGUCCUGUUUUUAGGUUGUAACCUUUCUUCCAUGUUUUUCUGCAGGUGGUACUUUUGCACUGUAUUCUUUGAUAUGUAGGCAUGCAAAAGUGAGCCUUCUACCCAACCGGCAGCUUGCUGAUGAAGCACUCUCUACUUAUAAAUUGGAGCACCCACCAGAGAAGGAAAAAAGUUCAAGGUUGAAAGUUGUACUGGAGAAGUGCAAGGCCUUACACACUGCUUUGCUAAUUCUUGUUCUUCUUGGCACUUGUAUGGUAAUUGGUGAUGGAGUGCUCACUCCAGCUAUUUCAGGUAGACGUCUUUCCAGUUUAAACAAUAUAAAAAAAUGUUGCAAUUCUUUCUGGUUUGACAAAUUCAUGUCUAUGCUAUUUUAGUCUUUUCUGCGGUGUCUGGCCUGGAAUUAUCCAUGUCCAAGGAGCAUCACCAGUGUAAGCUUCUCAUCUCCUAUUUUAUUUCGUAUAAGAUUUUUCAUUUCCAAUCAAUAGUAGUAGAGGACUAAUAAAGUUUCUGUUUUCUGAACAUUAUGUUUGAUGAACUAUAGACUUGAUUUUGAUUAUAUUGAGGAGGUUGGGAUGAAAUUAAUAUUUUUUCGAGUAUGUCUGUUUAUUGCCUCGGAAGUGAAUUGGAAAGAUAUAAAGUACCAACAAUCAGUUAAUUGUAGACUUGCAGUAAUGAUUUGCCCAUUUUGUCUAUUUACAUCUAUAUUCUGCCCCAAUUUGCAGAUGCAGUGGUUCCAAUUACUUGUUUCAUAUUGUUGUGUCUUUUUGCACUUCAACACUAUGGCACCCAUCGAGUUGGAUUCUUUUUUGCACCAGUGGUGUUGGCAUGGCUUCUGUGCAUCAGUGCACUUGGCUUAUAUAACAUAUUCCAGUGGAAUCGGUAUAUCUAUCAAGCUCUGUCUCCAUAUUACAUGUUCAAGUUCUUGAGGAAGACAAGGAUAAGCGGAUGGAUGUCUUUAGGUGGAAUAUUGCUGUGCAUAACAGGUACUUUUGGAAAAUAUUUGCAUAUAAUAUAUUCCUGUAUAUAUUUUGCUGUUGUCCUGCAUAUUGAUGAAUAAUGUGUGGCUAUGCAUGCAGGCUCAGAGGCCAUGUUUGCUGAUCUUGGCCACUUCUCAUAUUCUGCUAUUCAGGUAAGUCUUACAUUCCUCGUAGUGUCUUCUCUAUGCAUUGUGAAUACUGAUUUGGAUACUAAUCAGGGAGUUGCAACCCCCACUGUCUUAGUGCAGGUUGCUUUUACCUUUUUGGUUUAUCCAGCACUUAUAUUGGCAUAUAUGGGUCAAGCUGCUUACUUAUCACAACAUCACCACACCAGUCACCGGAUUAGUUUUUAUGUCUCAGUUCCAGGUAUGUGUUUGUCAUUCUUGUUUUAUAGACAGGAAUAUUAUUCAACAACAUUUCAUUAGAAAAUGUGACGACUUUACGUUUUUGGGUACAGAAAGUGUGAGAUGGCCAGUGCUUGUACUGGCCAUUCUUGCUUCUGUUGUGGGAAGCCAAGCAAUCAUCAGUGGAACAUUUUCUAUCAUAAACCAGAGCCAGUCACUAGGUUGUUUCCCAAGAGUCAAGGUUGUUCACACUUCUGACAAGGUACAUGGCCAGAUAUAUAUCCCUGAGAUCAAUUGGAUGCUCAUGAUCCUCUGCAUUGCAGUGACCAUUGGAUUUAGAGACACAAAACACCUGGGGAAUGCAUCAGGUAAGUUGGUCUUUAUAUAUUUUUCUAGAUUCAUAUUAUAAAAUUCAUCUCUUAUUCAUAGAGUCUGCCUAAAUUUCUUAUCAUGAAUACAUCCAAAUGCAGCUAAUUAAAAUUUUAAAAUCAUUAAUGUUUCUUGAAGUACUAAGCAGCAGUUUUUAUUUAUUUAUUUCAGGGUUAGCAGUGAUGGCGGUUAUGCUAGUGACAACAUGCCUCACUUCCUUGGUGAUCAUCCUUUGUUGGCGCAAGCCACCUAUUCUAGCCCUUUGCUUCCUAAUCUUCUUUGGAUCUAUUGAAUUGCUCUACUUCUCAGCUUCACUCACAAAGUUCCGGGAGGGUGCCUGGCUCCCCAUCCUUCUUGCUCUGUUCCUCAUGACUAUCAUGUUUGUUUGGCACUAUGCAACCAUCAAGAAGUACGAAUUUGACCUCCACAACAAGGUUUCCUUGGACUGGCUUCUAGCGUUGGGUCCAAGCUUGGGAAUUGCUCGAGUCCCUGGCAUUGGCCUAGUGUUCACAGAUCUCACCUCUGGCAUUCCUGCUAACUUCUCCCGCUUUGUAACCAACCUCCCUGCUUUUCACCGCGUUCUAGUUUUUGUGUGUGUAAAGUCGGUCCCUGUCCCUUAUGUUCUGCCUGCUGAGCGCUACCUUGUGGGUCGUGUUGGUCCUGCAGCUCAUCGGUCCUAUAGGUGUAUUGUUCGGUAUGGAUACCGUGAUGUUCAUCAGGAUGUUGACUCCUUUGAAUCAGAACUAGUUGAUAGGCUGGCUGAUUUCAUCCGAUAUGAUUGGUGUCGAACACAGAGAACUAGCUCAUGCACUGAGGAUGAUGCAUCAAGGUCUACUGAUAUGAGUGACAGUAGACUGGCUGUCAUUGGAACAGUGGCAUUUUCUGGUGCACCAGCUUAUGAGAUAGAGGAGACUCAACCGGCAAGUGUGUCUGUUGGUUUCCCAACUGUAGAAAGUAUAACAGAUGUUAUUGAGAUGGAACCAGUUGAAAGAAGAGUGAGGUUUGUCAUUGAUGAUGACUCUCAGGCUGAUAGCCGGACUGAGAAUGCCAUGCAGAUACGUGAAGAGCUCGAGGAUCUGUAUGCAGCUCAACAAGCUGGGACGGCGUUUAUACUCGGGCACUCACACGUUAAAGCAAAGCAAGGUUCAUCUAUCAUGAAGAGAUUGGCCAUUAACUUUGGGUAUAAUUUCCUGAGGAAGAAUUGCAGGGGGGCAGAUGUGGCGCUCAAAGUGCCACCAGUGUCCCUUCUUGAGGUUGGGAUGGUUUAUGUUGUCUAGACCAGACAGACAUGUAAUUACCAAAUAGUUUUGUCUUUGUUUGCUCACUCCUGUAGCAGAGAGAGUGGAAAGGGAUGUGCUAGGAAGAUGAUUGUGUAGUUCAAAGAGGUCUGUAGAAAAAUGUUACUCUACCACGCCAUCAGUUUCACAGAUGAUGCAUUUAGCUAGAUUACUACCAGCAAACUCUGAAAAUUACUACUUUUUCUUGGGUCGAUGUCAGACCUGACUUGUCAUGAUCUUAUGCCAUCUUCAGAUUUUACUGUAGUCUGGGAAACCUAAUUAUUUGGAACAAUCAACCUGUUCUACACUCGUAAACAAUAUGAUCAAUAAUGUAUGUAUAACCUAACUCUAUUCGCAAACACGAAUCUUGACUCCUUAUACCGAAGUUCGGAUUCCAUACCCAUGGAUUAGAAUAGUUUUAGACUAUCAAUUGUACAAGGGAAAAAUAAAACACCGACUCUGUUCAACAUGGCAUGUGCGCUUGCAUCCUAAAUGAUGUGGAUCUGAGGACCUGGAUCCAAAUCGCCCAUUUAAUAAAAUGAGUGAUCUGAAAAUAAACUUGGUUUUUCACUAGCCAUCAGUCUCAGAUUCUAUAAGAUACUUGAAUUCUGGAUGAAUGACUUUUGGAAAAAACCAAAUGACUGCUUUGAUAAAGGGCCACGUAGUAUUAUGCUGACCACCAAGCCCAGUGAGUGGCAGGCAUGCUAUCUUUCUCUACGCGUGGCUACUAUUUAGUCGUCUAAAUAGGCAAAAGAUUCAGAAACGAACACCCUAAACACCAACAACAUACAAGGAGCAAAAUUAACUUAAUUAAUUUUUGCAAAGCAAAGCAGACAUGGGAGUUCUAAGAACACUUCCUUUGACCCCUCCACACGGCAAGUUCCCUUCAAAUUUUGGAGUUGCAGAGUGCUUAUCAAACCGUGGAGGGUUCGUCAGCAAGAGCUCUCAGUUUAGGGUCUUAGCCAAAACAGAGAAGGGUGAGAAAGGUGACAAGGAAGAACCCAAGAAAACCAAGCAGUCAUUGUUUAGCAGUGUGACAGAAGCACUUGAUUUUUCUCAAACCAGGUCUGCAGAGGACGCUCUGCUUAUUGAAGAUGCUAGAGAGGCCACCAAGUCUGGAGAGAAAAUGUCCAGGGAACAGGUAUGUUGAAAAUUAAAAUGCUUUCAAACUAGCUCAUUGUUUUAAAAAAUUUGCUAAUUGGGUUUUCUUAUUUUCAUGCAGUAUGGGGCUCUGAGAAGGAAAAUUGGAGGAACAUACAAGGAUUUCUUCAAAUCUUAUGUUGAUGGUAUGUAGAAAUUUUGAAAUCAUAGUGUGGUUCAAUCCAAAUAGCAGCACUCUUUUCUCAAUAUUUUGGCUCAAAGUUGUAGUGAUUUUCCUAACUUCGGUAAUUGUUUUUCACUUGGAAAUCAGUGGAUGGGCAAUAUGUGGAAGAGGGCUGGGUGGACAAAACGUGCAAGGUUUGCAAGAAAGAUACAGGGGGUGAGCCAAGGCAAGUGGACAAACUUGGAAGAUAUGUUCAUGUGGCGUGUAUGGAGAAAUCGAAAUCUGGCAACUUUUUUACCAGACUUUUCUCAGGAUGAAGACAGAGAACAUGGUGCUUGUAUUGUAUAUCAGAUAUCCCAGAGCCUGGUGACGCGAUGUGAUGCCAAUUUUAGAUACAAAAAUAUAUAAUUCAAUGUUGGGUAGAAGAUUUGAGAACCUAGCUUGUUUUUCUCUUUUAACUGUAAUUGAUGAGCAUUGAGCAAUGAAGUGAUCAUAGUAUGAACUAAAAUAUGCAGCAGGGCAAAUCCAUUCAAAUUUCGUUUGACCAAGCAUUCAAGUAAAAACAAAAACAGAUGGAGCUACAAUAUGAUACGAUGCAUAUAAUGUAAAUUUGGUAACAUGUGAUUUAAGGCAAUUUGCAAGCAAACCAAGGCCUCAAACCGUGUUUAAAGAUUGUAGGAAACCUUCCCCUUUUUGUUUGUUUAAGUUUCCCUUUUCUCAACAAUCCUGGGUUUGAUUUUCCUCUGUUAAUUAGGAGUAAUGUCUAUUUUCCUGGUAGAAAUGGGGUUUGGUUUAACCUAUAAAAGAGCCUAGUUUAGAAUUGUAUUUUGGAAAUUAUUCAUACAAUCAAUCAAAUCAAGCUUCGAGUUGCAGACGUUGUCUAAGCUUCAUAGCAAUCUUUGCAAUGGCCUGCAACGUUCAAUGGCUCUGUCUCAUCUUCUCCAUCACGCUUUCGGUGCUACUUGGACCAAAUUUUGCAGGUGAGUUUAUUGUUACAAACUCUUGUAAUGUUUACAAUUGAUUCUCUUAUAAUUAGCCUUGUUUUGCUCGUGCUCAAAGUUUUAUCAUACAUGUGAACUUUAUUUUUUGGUAUUCGUUGUCAAUAUGAUUAAGAUAUUGUUAGAUUCUGAAACUAGUAAACCAUCUAGACUGUUUUAUUAUUUUUUGAGAAUGAAAAUCAUAGACUAUAUUUAAAGUUAGAAAAAAAAAAAAACCCUUAAAUUUCAUCGCCAGACUCUGUUGAAUUGAAACUUCGAUUUUGAAAGCUGUUCUACUAUCCAAAGUACACUUCCUGUAAAAAUUAAUUAACUAUUUUUCGGAUCAUAAAACUGAUUGUUUCUAAUUGUUUUGAUGAACACUGGCCAUUAUUUCUUUAAAAUUUAACGAAGUACUAGUUAGACAGAAAUAGUAAAUGUGCUAACAUGCUUGUAUUUCUCUAAUUAUCAGGCGCUUCUUCAAUUGGAGUAUGCUAUGGAAUGGUGGCCAACAACUUGCCACCACCAAGAGAAGUAAUUGACAUGUACACAUCGAAUCAAAUCGGACGAAUGAGACUCUAUGAUCCAAACCUAGAAGCAUUCGAAGCCCUUCGCAAUACUGGCAUCGAAGUCCUAGUUGGAGUUAGGAAUGAGGAUCUUCAACAACUUGCAAACUCCUACUCUGCUGCUCAGAACUGGAUAGCAACAUACAUAACACCUUAUUCGCACCAAAUCCAAUUUCGAUACAUAGCUGUUGGCAAUGAGGUCAUUCCAGGAGACUCUGCCCAGUAUGUCCUCCCAGCAAUGAAAAACUUGCAAAAUGCUUUGGGCAAUAGAGGCAUCAAGGUCAGCACUUCAAUUGCAACAUCAGUCUUGGGUGUAUCUUACCCUCCCUCAGCUGGAGCCUUUUCUCAAGACACCAUGGAGUACAUGGUACCUAUUGCUCGAUACCUCAAUAGCAUUGGUGCACCCUUAUUAGCCAAUGUGUACCCUUAUUUUGCCUACAUUGGAGACACAAUUGACAUUUCACUGCCUUAUGCAUUGUUCGUUUCUGGGAAGGUCGUGACAGACGGUCGUCUAAGUUAUGAUAACCUGUUUGACUCCAUGGUGGAUGCAUUACAUGCAGCAUUGGGGAAAGCAGGGGCGCCCCAAGUCCAAGUCGUGGUGUCCGAGACAGGCUGGCCCUCCCAUGGGAAUGGGAAGGUGACAACACCGGCCAAUGCACAAAUAUACAAUUCGAACCUAAUAAGCCACGUCUUAUCGUCCCGUGGAACACCAAGGCGGCCGGGGAACUCCACCGAGACUUACUUGUUUUCCAUGUUUAAUGAGAACAUGAAGCCUGGUGCAGCAGUGGAGCAACACUGGGGUCUCUUUCAUCCCAACAAGUGGCCCGUUUAUCCAAUCAGUUUCCUGUGAACAAAAAUUAAAGAACAAAGCAUGGUUUCAGUAAUUUAUGUGGUUAUACAGUUAGGAUUUGUUAUUUAUUUUCAUAAUUAGGAUGUAAUUUGUCUCUAAACAUUGCAACAUUAUUAGAUUUCUUGUCACCAGCCAAAAGUUUGAGUUUAUUUAAGCAUUAUCCAAUUUUGAUUUUCUCCUACUUUGUUUUUUGGUCUGUUUUUCUCUCCUACGUUUGACUUGAGAAUCGAUGAUGCAAUUGAUUCAGCUAAGCACCAAAUGAAGAACUUCAACAAUACAUUGACAACAGGAACCAGACUUUUACUAUUAUAUGCUUAAUUAACCACACUCAAAUUGAAGUCCAUAGAAUUCAACCAUUAACAAACUAAAAGUAAAGAGAUAAGCAGAUGCAGAUGAAAAACGGGUACCAGAGGGUUUUGUACCAAACGACCAUGAUCGCCGAAAAUCGGCGAACUUGUAGAAGGUGGCCACCACUAUAAUCUGUGAAUCCGAGUUAUUCAACUCGGGCAAGCUCGAAAUCGGUACUGGAACGGUGGGCCCAGAGAAGCACCUGAAAAGUCUCGUGCUUUGACGGACGCCAUGAAAUUCACCUGGAAAGUCUAAUUGGGUUAAAUCAAAGAACAGUUGAAGAUGAAAAUUUGACGGUUCCUAAAUUGAAAGAGGGUGGGGGUGAAAUCUAGGGUUACGGUUUAUAGAGAAGGUGAUGAGGUGUUCGAAAAAUCAGUCUAGGCGACCACCUAGGAGCUAGGCGGGAGGACACCGCCACGAUUUACCCCUAAUCGUUAGGGGCAGGCGCCAGGGACUUAGGCGGCGCCUAGGCGGGUCUGGGCGCCUCGGCAGACUGCUGAAGGAACAAAGAAGAAGAGGAACGAAGAUCAAGAUCACGCCGUCCACCUGGCAGCCACCUUAACGUUUGAUUAAUCGAAAUAUGUCCUCAAACGUUGUAAGGGCAUUUUUGACUUUUCGAAUUUCAUUUGUGCUGUUUAGUUUUCCACAUCCAACAGUCCAAAAGUCAUCUGCCGCAUCUAACGAUCCAGAAGUCAUUACAGUCUUCUCUUUGUAAGUUGUAAUUGUAAGAAGAUGUAGGCAGUAACCUAAAUGGCGGGAACAAACAGUGCUUAGCGGGAAAAUCCAAUUACCUUACUUAAAAGCGCGGGAAGCCGCUCUCAAACGGCACAAAGAGAGACUGAGAGUGGAAGAGGGAGGGAGAUAGAGGAUCAUUUGCAAUCAGAUAUGGUGGGAUUAGCGUACGACUGCUUGGCGAACCCUCUCGGAGCCGUUCGAUCGACGUUCGAGAAGGCCAUCGCGUCGGGAUCGGACCCCGCCUCCUUCGACGGCCGGGACUGGGGCGCCGUUGAUCUCUUCCGUCACUUUCUCUUCGAGGACGAUGGUCUCACUCAGGUCCAGACCCUAAGCGUACUUUCAAUUGUCAGUCCUUUUAUUUGGGCUCAUUUGUUGUCCUUGAAAACCCUAAUUGUGUAUUUUUCCCAUUAAUCUCUUGUGUCUAUCUUGACCUAGAUAUUAUCACAUCUGUUGUUAAAAGUCUUUCCCUUCAAAUAGUUUUUUGUGUGAUAUGUGUUCUCGUUUCAUCACUGUUUGGGAAAAUUUAGGUGCCAAUUCUGAAUUCUGCAACUAUAAGAUGGGUUCAGCCCAACACUCUGGUUCGGUUUCGGGGAAUGAUACAGGACAUGUUGGGAAAUGAGUUCUAUGUUGGUGCUUAUAAGGUAUCUUAUGCCCUCUGAUCAUUUUCCGGUGACCCAAAAUGGGCUAAUUUCUGUGCCACUAAAACAAUGUGUUGUGGCUCUUUUGAAGGAUGGCUCGGUUUGGAGAACCAACAAGUUUACGGAUGUUCCUCAGUUCCCUAUGGAUACUUCACCGGACAUGCGAUUAUGGGAGCGCCGUAUGCUCUACUGCAUCCCGGUGAGUUCUCUAUACUCAAACUCUUCCUUCUUUGUAGAAUAUGACAUCAGCUUCUGUUCUUAGCACAUAACCAUAUGCUUAGUAUUGGUUAUUGGUUGUUUGUUGUACUUAAGUUUUCUUUUUGUUAGGGUAAAUGACACUCCUUGAAUUUCAGAGUGCCUACUACCAUAUUCAGUUUAGAUGUGUGGAAUUAAAAUUGUGGAUCGUUCCAUGAUCUGAUUCUUCUUGGGUUGUUAUCUUGUUUACAUCUUUAGGUGCCAGGACAGAAUUCAUGGACUGAAUCUCCUUCUGAAGCAGUGAUGUAUAGAAGUAUGAAUUCGGCAACCCAACAAAGAGAGAAGCGCCAUAGAUUGGAUGUUGAAGCUACUGAUAACAUGGAUUGCAAUGUAAUUCCAUUCUCAUAAUCUGCGUAUUAACUGUUCACUUUAACUCGAUUUGCAGUAAAAGGAUAAUCAUAUUUAAGUAGAAAAGGCAAACUGCAUUACAAUGGUAAUUUUCCUUAUGGUCAUCUUUGUUCUGAGCUCCGAAGCAGCUUAAAACAGUAUGUUAUAUGGAUUUAGGAAGUUUUUUCUUAGCAAAAUAAGUAGGAAGCUUUCUGAAGGGGUUUCCUGUUAAUUGGAUUGUUAUAAUUUACUUGAUAGACUAGGUGCAUUCAUCAUUAUUUUGGGCCUUGAUGACUUGAUGAUUUUUUGGGGCUGCACAUCUGAUUCUCUGAAGCUUUAGCUUUGUAAAAAUGUCUUCUUUUUUGUCCAUCUGACACACUGCAUUCAAUGACAGGUCUCAGAUGAAGGAGUUGAAUGCUCUCCUGCCAAAAAGCUGGUAAGUAGAACAAAUUUCAGUUUAUUUUGCUCUUUUAUUUUAUUAAAAAUCAUUAUUUUAUGAUUCUGAUGGAAUAAAAAUUUAUUUUACUAAAUUUCUUCUCCUUUUUCAGAAAGAGGAUGGACAUCUUCAGUCUCAGGAGUCAAUUACUGAGGGCACCAGCUCUAGUAUGAUUAUGGGGCCUGAUGUCAACAGGGAUUCGCUUCCUUGUCUUAUUAAGGUACAUUGGUCAAUUAGUUGUACCAAUAGAAAAAUGAUGAACUGAGAUUUGUUCUCUCUUUUUGUGAAAGCUGAUGAAACUGUUAUGGUUAUCAGAUAUAUGAUUGUCCAGAGUCUGACUUAAAGCUAAAUGAGGUUUUUGAGUUUGUUGGAGUCUUCACUUUCGAUCCAGAGUUCAAAGUGGACAAGGAUGAAUGUGAUGAUUUCACAAAUGGUUUCAGUGAAGAUGUGUUAGUUCAUUUUCCCCCUAAUAAGGUAUUGGCUGUGUCUUGCAUCUACGCAACUGUUGGUCUCCAUAUAUAUGAACAAAGGACUAAAUCUUGCAUGUUUUUUUUUUCUUUCUGUACAGCUUGUUUGUUAGUAUCUUGUGUUGGACUAUAAGUACGUAGCUCACUUAAAUACGUUUUCCUUUGGUGCAGGUACCACGUCUCCACUGUUUUAUUCAUAGGAAACUUGCAGUUCAUGACUUCCUACCUCAUUCCCCUACAGUGGAGGUGAUUUUGUGGUCAUUAUAGUCAUGUUUCUUCAAACGAAGGACUUAUAUACCUACCUGUGUGUAUUUACUAUUUAUGCUAACGUGGUUGUGUUGACAAUGCAAUUAUUAUCUGAUCUUAUAGCCAAAGCCCAACUUGGUCAAAGAGAUCAGGGAAGCUCUCUUGGGACAUCUUACAGCUAUUCUUGGUAAUGAUGGUGUAGCUGCUCAUUUCAUGCUGUUACAUCUCUUGUCCACGGUAAAUGGUGCCUUCUCAUAUCAAACUUUUUAGUGUUGGAUCCGCAUGAUGGUACUUCUACAUUAUUUUUGUUCAUCUACAUCCCUUCUGAGUCCAUUUCUUAUCUCAAUCUCUCAAAUUACCUCUGCCCCUUCCCUCUCUUCAUCUCCUGUACUUAUGAGGUAUAUGAUUUAUUAUGGUUUUGACAGGUAUAUUCUAGAGUUGAAACUGUUGCUGUCGGGAAGCUUUCACUGAAUCUCACUUGUUUUAGCAAAGAAAGUGUACCUGUGUUUGGCACUCCGCUUCGCCUGGCUAUGAAGAAUCUUUUACCAUUCACACAAUGUAUAUCCCUGACAGUUGAUUAUCUCAACACUGCUUCUCUCGCACCAAGAAAGGAUUAUGAGACAAACAGGUAAUCAGAUUUCUAAUUCCUUAACCAAGUAUAAUUUUCCUUUCAGUAGUAAUUUUUUAAUUUCUAAGUAUCAAUUUUGCUAUAGUUUUAACUCUUCACAUUGCUCCAGGCUGAUAACUGGAGCUCUACAGCUGGCUGAGGGUUCACACUUGAUCUUUGAUGAGACCCAUUUGGAAGCUGGAACUCUCAACUCUGUUGGGGUUGAAAAUGCAAGAGUGCUUAAAACUUUAAUGGAGUUGCAAAAGGUGAUUUUCUGUUUUAUCAUGCAUAUGCAUGUACGUGUAUAUUUAUGUAUUACUGCUUAGUGCACUAAGAUUGGAAAACCCUGCAUGGAUUGAUCCUUAGUAGUAAACAAUGCAUUCCUGAGAAUUUUAAUAGAAUUUGUGCGUCAUGAGAUUAUUAUGUCGUUCAUCAAGUAUUGUGCUAAACACGUGAUACAUUUAAUUUGUCUGUUUCAGGUGGAAUACGAUUUUAAGUUCUAUAAACUGGACAUGGCAGCUGACAUCAAAAUGCUUAUUUUAUCUGAAGGCAAAUCAAACAUUUUGCCUGCUGAUAUAGUGUUACCUUUCCACCCUUCUUCAGUUGGUUCCUCUGAAGUUGCUGCAGAAGCACUAGAGGCUUGGAGAUGGUACUUGGCUACUCUUAGAUCAUUGCCACAUUCUAUUGAGCCGGAAAUGCAGAAGGUAAGAGUUAGCUUGACAUCAACAAUUAACCUCUAAACCCGAGCAUAAUUCUCAUGGGUUGAUACCUUACAGGUGAUAGAAAAUGACUUGGUUGCAGCAAGGCAAGAAGAUAGGAAACUUGGCACCCAAGAUUUUAGCAGGUUAGAGACUGGAAGAUUUUCCAAAUGUUCUUGUAUCUUCAAGUUUUGUUUAUCAUCUCAUCUGAAAUUUUCCUUUGCUUGCAGAUUGCUGACAAUGGGCCGUCUGAUGUCUAUGAGUUUUGGUGAAACCAGCCUAUCAUUAGAACAUUGGCAGAUGGUUAAGGAACUGGAAAGGUUACGAAAAGAGAGGCUCAAGUGAAAGUAAAAAAUUACUACUGGGAAUUGUUCUAAUUAUUAACUGGUGUAAAUUAUAGCCUAUGGCUCUUGCUGGCCCCAAGUCCGGAACUUUUUGUAAGAAAAUAGUGUCAUUUAAUAAUAGUGUGCUGCCUAUUCACAUUUUUUGGUUGUUGCCAAAUUCACAUCAAAUUUCAGAUUGUUCAAAACGGUGGGCCCUUUGUGUUUGGUUACUGACUACCUCUUUAGAUUCUCUUUAGUCUUUACAUUCGGUAGCCAGGUUUUCCUAUUUCUCAAGUUCACCGUUGACCAAAUCAACCCCAAAUAGCUUGUAGCUCAAGUAAUUAAGAACAGUUACUCAUAUAUCGCAGUCAUGUGUUUAACUUAUUGGCCAAAGGUAUCGUAGGUUGAUAUGCUCAGAAUCUCAGAUGAUAAUGGUCAUUAGUUGCAUCUUUUCUAAAGAAAAGCUCCUAUUAAUACACUCAUUGAUCUAAUAUUGUAGUAGUUGAAAAAUAAAAAUAAAAAAAAUUGCUGAGAACUUAAAAAGGAGUUUCCAUAGAAAUCCACAAAGUAUAUAAUUAAGAUACCAAGUACAAAGUUGCCCCAGCUGGGCUCAGUACCCAGUUAGGUAUGGUAUGAGUAAUAAAUCUGCAUACCUACCCACCACCUUCAAAGAUAUUAAUGUGCAUUUUGCUUCAAAACAAACAAAAUGCAUCUUCAAAAUGGACGAUUUCUGCGAACUAUAUGACUCACAAUCUCCACCGUUACUAUAAAUAAUAUAUAUAGCAGGCCUUGCGGGUGCCAAAUUAGCCACCUCAGCAAUAACAUUUGCCUCUUUCCUAAUCUACCCUGUCUGUCUCCCUCUCCUCUCUCCCCUUUCCCAAGCAAUCAAAUAUUACAUAUACAAAUCACCCUGCGCCAUUUAUUCCAGACUUUUUACUGUUUGUAAAAAAGUCUAGAAUUGACCGCCCGAAAAUGUUUGACCAAACUGCCAGUUAGCUGGCACAGCAUUGCUGGUCACAGUUCUACCGUCACUGGUGGUGACUUGGAAAGACAAAGCCUGGCCAUUGAGGUAAGAGUUGCUCUGCCAGUUCUGGCCCCAGUUCCUUGACAUGGCUUGCCACCCUGUUUUGGACCCCUUGAUUGAAACAGAGUGCACAUCCCCUGCACCUCCAACGUUUGUGAUCAAAACCAAGUUGAAGUAAGAGUGACCGUUGAUGGUGAAUCUUAUCCCUCCCUUUUUCACACAAGAAACCCUGCACAUACCAACGCAACAACCAUGUUAAAAAUGUCACUAGCUCACAAAUAAAAUUAUUGUUUGCAACCGUCACACUGAAAAAUUAUUCGUGAGUGUCUAUAUGAACACAACCAUGUUGAUGUGACUAACUCACAACACAAAUAAAACUAUUAUAUGUGACCGUCGCAUCGAAAAUUACUUUUUUUUACCUUCUGAAGGAGACGGGGACAAUUCCGGCUCGGUAUUGAGCAAUUUGUAAGAAGGCAGGCUCAGCCAAAUCAAAGUGCUGGAGAGGAGGGUUGCACCAGCCACCAUUGUCAUUAGACUGAGCUAAGUUAGGAGGGCAGAAGUUUGUGGCAGUGACGAUGAUGCUGCCGGGGAGGCACCAUUUGGGGUCACUGUCACAUCUCAUCUCAUAACAAGACCCACAGCUCAAGCCAUCGUUGAACAGAGCUGUGCUGAGAGCUGCAGUGUUGGUUCCAUACCCUUGGCUAUACAAAUUUCCAUAUCCACAAGCACCUCCUGCAACACCAACAUAUAUGAUCCCAUCAAUUCAUGGUAGAAAUUUACAGUUUGAGCUACUAUCUGCCCUUUUGUACAUUUUCGGUUUUACCCAAAAGCUCAAAUGACACUAAAGUUUCUAACUUUAACACAAAAUUACCCCAAAAGUGAAGAAAACUAGUAAGAGAAAAGAAAGAAAGUGACUUGGAAUGAAAUUUACAGCUUGAACUACUAUCUGCCCUUGUGUGCAUUUUGGGUUUUUACCCAAAAGCUCAAAUUACACUAAAGCUUUUAACCUUAACACAAAAAUUAUCCCAAAGUGAAGAAAAACAGAAAGAGAGAAGAAAAAAAGAGACUUGGAACUUGGUAACUUACCCAUUGUGCCAGAGGCAUCACCCCCACCAUAAAAUGUGGCAUGACCACCUUCCCAUCCUCCUCCAUAGUCACCAUAAGUGCCUUGAAGACAUAGAUUGAGAACAGAGAACAGAAGAGCAAUGGCUAAGUGUGAGGUAAAAGCCAUUGUUGUGUAUAUUUUUUGUGUUGUGAGAUAGCGGAGAGAAAGACUUGCUUGACUAUUGACUGCAAAGUGGUGAGUGCUUAGCUUUAGGGAAUUGGGGUUUUCUUAUAUAGGGAGUUGAAGGCAUUGGUUGGGGGCGUUUGGUGGGGGCUGUAUACCCAGAAAGAAAGAGACAAGUUUAGCAUUGUUCACUUUUUUGAGAAAUAGAGGGAGAGAGAGAGCCAAAGCCACAUAAGUUAACACAUUCAUAUUUUCAGGUCAUAUUACAAGAAUCAAUGUGCACAUGCAAAUGUUCCAGUUAGACUUACCAACUGCUGAACCCAAUGACCCCACCUGCACAUGCAUUUCUCAAACCGUUUUCUUCCAUCUUGCAAUUACUUUAUACUUUUAUAAAUUAAUCUUAUUUUACUCAAAUCAAAUGCCUUGUCUAUCUAAACAUUUCAGUUCAUUUGCCUGAGAUUGCGGAAUUUAGCCCUUCAAAUGGGGGUGUGUUUAGGUUCACACAAGUCCAAUCUGGUGGCCUUGUAGGGUGGAUCCAAAUGAGCAUAAUUUGUAAAAUUAUCAACACCCCAUUUUAGCAAACUGUUUGCACACUACGAUUCAUUAAUCUCAUUACCCUUUUGCUUAAUAUUUUUUUCUGAAAACCCAAAGGAAAAAAAAGAAGAAAGAAUCAUUUGAAGAAUGCAAUGAAUGAGCAGAGAAUCAACUAGAGAAUCCGACAUGAAAAUCAUUAGCAUCUUUAUGAGAAGCUUGAACUAUCAGUUUCACGUGUGUGUGAUGAUUUAAAGAGAUUGAGAAUCUGUUAAUAUGUUUGAUUUGCUAGACAUUAGUUAAGUUAAUUAAACAACUAAAUCUAAUUUCUUUCGACAAAUAAAUAAUUUAGAGAUGCGUCAUCGAAUGGUAGGUAAAUGCCAAAGAGUAGAUAGAUUUCUAGAAUAAUUUGUCGGUUGAAAAAUAUUAAUAAAAAAACAAAAUAAAAACAAAGCAAAGUAAAAAAAAUAAAAAAUAAAAAAACAUCGUGAAGAAAAGUACAAAUUAUAUAUAAAAAAAUUGGUUAGAGUAAUUGUCAACCCAAAUAGUACACCAACUAGCGUUUGUAUAUAUAUAAGUAUCACCCAUACACUUUUGUUGUCUCCAAUACGACGAUUUUAACAAAUUUAAAAUAAAACAAAAAGAUUAGCAUGUUACUUGUUGACAAUGUAAUCGUAUCAUCAAGAUUUAUAGAGUGCUUACCUUUUUAAUAUUAUGACUGAAUACGUCUUAAUUUGUUGUUUUUAUUGAAACUUUGAAGCAGUUCAGUUAUAAAAAUCGUCUUUUAAAAUAAGAUAAUCGCGCGUAUUCAAAAAUUACUUUAACAAAUUGUAUAUAAUAAUAAAAAAUUAUACUAUGUUGUCCUAUUUUUAAUCAAGAUUUAAAAUAAUGAUAAUUUUUAAAUAUCUAUGUCAUUGAAAAAUUGGAUUUAUUUUGAUGAUGGACCUACCAUGUUAGGAGCACAUGCCAGACCCGGGCUUGGCGGUCCAUUAAUUUCAUACAUCAUUUUCAGAUAAAUUUGCUGAUGCUUUCAGUUCUAAGAUAUGAUAAAAUAAAAAAAAUAUUGUAAAAAAAACAUACAAGACAAAUACAUAAAUUUAAUUGUGAAUUUGUAAACUUUUGAGACAGCUCUCCUUUUCGAAGUUUUCUUGUUGAUAAGAAAAGGGGACGUGACAUAACCUCCAUCCCAUGCUCAAUGAGAAUUUCACCUCAACAUAAAUCUUUAAAUUUGUCUCUUGUGUAAAGGAAUAUUAUGGAGGUGGAUUUCUGGAAUCAAAAUCUCUACUAUUUUUGAACUCGCACACUUUUCACAUAUGUCUGUGUGUGUGUGUUUUUUUUAAAAUUCAUGAGCAAACAAAUGACAAUGGUCCAAAGUGAUUAUGGUGCACCGAAUUCGGUGUGAAGUCAAAGUUUGUGGCUUCAAUGUGAAUUGAGAGAAAACAAAUAUAAAUAUAAAUUCUUUCGGUUUGUGUACCAAGACUUUGAAGAACGCUUUUAUACCAAAAUAGUGACAUUCUUAUUGCAAUCUAGUUUUUCUCUUUUUUCUCGGUCAAGCGGGACGGAGAAUGCAUGCCUUCAAAUCAUAAUAAUAGCACAUAAAAGAAACAAUAAUUCGAAGAAAAAAAAAAAAAGAGGAAGAAUAUAUUGAAGCAAAAUGCGAAUGUGAACAUAGUUGUUGUUUCAUUUAUUGCAUGUUUUGGCAUGGCAUUACAAGGCUUGAGCAGUCUAAAUAAUGAAGGGGCAUGAUUUUGAUAUCUCAUGUGUAUAUAUUAUUAUUGUUAUUAUGUCUUCUUUGCCUGACCAAAAUAUGUGAUCCUAAAGUUGCUGAAACCUUCUGUUGUGGACAAGGUUGAAGGAGGUUGAAUUGAUGAGAUCCACAAAAGGCAUGUGGAUUUUAUCCAAAUGUUUGUGAAUGGAGGACCCAUGAAACUGGCCUUCACUUGGGGCUGUCUGCUGCUGCUGCUGCUAGCUUUAGACCCAUGAAAGUGUCGUCCCAGUUGCAUGAAACUAAAAAGAAUGGAAUGACCCAUUUGCUGGGUCAAUUGGCAAGAACGUUUUGUUUGAGUGGUCGCUUUCUUAGGGUAGUUAAUAACAUGGUCACUUAUAGCAGCCACAACUAGUCCCACAUGUAUGCCAACUUCCAAUAUAAUGCAAGUUCAUACUCCAACCAUGUGCAUUUAAAUGGAUAACUUGGAGUGUAGGCCAUCCCACACCUGGUCACAUGUGAGCCAUGUUUGGUUUUUGUAAGCUCUUCUUUUAUGUUUUAUGUAAUGUGACUAGCAAAACUGUUGUCCCAUACUGUGUACGAGGGUGCCAUGAGCUAAAUUGAGAGUGCCAAAUCUGUUGUCCCCAAAUGAGUCGUUCUCUUAACUCUCACCAUUGCAGGACUUUAAAGAUUGAGAACAAUAACUGCAAAAGAUUAAAAACACUUUCAAGUAGUUUUAAAAAAUAAGGGUGAUUUUGAAAACUCGAUUUCACUUUUUUAAAAACAUAAAAUGAAAUACGUUACUAAACAUGUUUUCAGUUUUCAAUUUUCAAUUUUAAAUAAAAAAAGUGAUAAUGAAAACUGAAAAUGAAAUAGUUGUCAAACAAAACAAGUUAAUGUCAAAGCCUAAACCUUAGUGGUUGUUUACGUCCAACUCCAACAUUGAGUAUCAAUCUUAUUUAUGUAGUUGUCCAGGAAAGGCUCGUUCCAAAUUUUACUUGCAACGACAAAAACCAACAAAAUAAAAAGUAAAAAAAAUUGUCGCAUAUUUGCAGAGCCGGCAUCUAUAAUAUGAUGCGGCAAUGGGAUUUGAGCUUUGGGGGUUACGCCCUUUUUUGUUUCUUGUUCUUUUUGUUCUUUUGGGGGGUGGCCUUAUCAAUCGCAAUUUACAAUGAAAUGUUUCCGUAAAUGAAAAGCAAGUUAAUAUAAAUUGAGAGAGACAGACAGAGAGAGAGAGAGAGAGAGAGAGAGAGAGAGAGAGAGUCAAUCCACUACAUAAAAGUCAAAACCACAAUAUGAACAUAACACCGAUUUCCACAGUAUGACAAUUUCAAGGGUUACAAAUGAACAGAACACAAAGGAAGGGAUAGGGGGAUCCCAGGCAUGAAAAGUUGCAUCUAUUACAAUGCUCUAUUCUCACAUGAGCAACCCCAAGGAAUCAAUUAGGAACUGAAUAAGCAUUCAUGAACUGCUUAAGACCUAAAGCAGCUACCAAAAAUUUUGGGAGCAAUCAAUUCAAAGAAUCAAAGUCCAAUAAACGAGUUUAAACCAUACCUUUGGUUGAGGUCAGUCUAUGAACAAUCCAAUAAAUAAGGUGGACCUGGGGUAGAUCAGCAUUCAAAAUCUCCUGUUGCUUUCACCGGCAGAUAUGGAGGGCCCUUCAGGCCUCACUAGAUGAGAACCUCUGUUACUGAUGUCAAGCCCCUGAAAUCGGCCAAUUGAAUCCUGCUGCAACAUAUCUGAGCACGCAUGUGACUGGGCUGCAGAAAGCAUAGGCUGAUGGGGAGCUGACAUAUUUGGCUGGAAAGGAUGAAACUGUGGCAUGUGAAUGUUCUGGGAAUCACGCUGCCCUGCUUGUGACUGACUGGGAAAGAAGGGGGAUUGCGAAUAUGGACUUUGGUGCAUUCCCAUGUUGUAUGAAUCAGUGUGUGUUAGUACUUCCCCGGUUGCAAUCUUGAGCCUCUCAAGUUCUUUCUUCAGUGCAUCAUUGAGAGCUGUAUUAAGGGAAGAGUAGCACAAGAGAAUUGGUGGUUAGCAAUUGCCAUAGCGCAUUGGGGAAAGGUAGCCUUGCCCACUUCAAAGUACAGUUACCAGACUCAAACCAAAGGAGAUAACCAAGAACAUAAUAGCAAACCAAUGACUUGGUUGGACUAAUGCGAGAGACCACAUCAUUAAGUGUACAAAGACCCAAAGGUAGCAUUUGUAAAAUUUAAUACCUAAGGGACUCAAUGCAUUCUUAACUGAUAUUAACCACAAAUAUAGCACUGAAUCAGCUAAGACCAGUACCCAGAUGAUGAUCCAUUGGUCACUUGUAUAACAAGUAAAACAAGAAAAAUUCAAUAAAAGGUGCCUGAAACCAUGGAAAUAAUUCCAAAAGGUGGGUGCAUGACACGUACCAUCACGUAACUGAGCUUGUUGUUCCAUAGCUUGCACCCGAAGCUUAAGCUCUGAGUUCUCAGUAGAUAAGCCUGUUGUAUCUCUCUGAAAAAAUAACACAAAAAAAUACAAAACCUCUCAGAUAUCAGCCUAUGGAAAUAAGCAAUAUGCAGGCAAUGAGUUAUAAUAAAUGACAAUCUCUUAAAUCAACACCAGGGGUGAAGGACAAACAAGUCCUGAUUACAAGUUUUGUAAAAGCUCAAAAUAAUCUCUUUAGAACAUCUCUCUCUCUCUCAUGUAGCAUUCCUAUGCCAGAUGACCAUUCAACUACAUCUGCAUGAACUACAUGACUAUAAUCAGAUGAGGCAAGCAAGAUGAGUAUUUGAGUAAGAACCUGGAACAGAGUGAGUUGUGCAGAUAGGGUAGUAGCUUCUGUUUGUAGGGUCUGAACUUUUCUUUCAAGUUCUGAGAUGUACCGGGCCUUCCUCUCUUUUGACCGAGCAGCAGACUGCCGAUUUGCCAAAAUCCUGUUUUAAAAUAUGCAAUUGGUAAACAUUCUUUAGAAACACCCCCAUUAAGUAUACGUAUAGUUAAGAACUUUCAUCAGACAUACACCACAGUUCAAGCUGCUGGAUUACAACCAAAGGACAAAUAAGGUCUUACAUGCUUAAAGCCUUUUCAAGUGUUAGAAUUGUUCUCUAAUAAGGUCCUUAAGUCAGGUUUCGUAUAUGGAUGGUUGAGAAAUAUAAUGAGUGAGAGGCAUCUCAACCAUUCAUAUCUAAUAUAACGGUUGAAGAGUAAGUCCUCAUUUAAUGACCUUACCAAAGGACUUUGAACGAAAAAUUAAUAGCAAUAAUAUUAUAGUUAGAAGUAGUAUUUGUAUAAAAAAAUUAUUCAGAUAAUGUUCCAACUAAACAUCCUUAAAUGUUUGAGAAAGUUGUUGGUCAUUUGUUGGCAAAUUCGGGAACAACGAAUAGCAGUUAUCUUUAAGAACCUUAUGCAAGAUCUUGCGUGUAUCAUUCUGAGAUGCAAUUCUACUAGUUGUUUUUCCACUAGGAACAAGCAGCACAUUUAAUUGUUGCCUCCUAAGCUAAAUUAUCGAAAACUAAAUGGGUCACUUAAGAAAGAUAAUAAUGCUUCUUCAGCAUCAUAAUUACAGUUUCGAAUGACAAUUUAAUUUUCCUAAAGAAAAUAAAAUAAAUUUUGGGUUGGAGCGUUACUUCUAUGGCAGAGAGCAGAGCACCCACACAUUCAUAUUCAACAUACGAUAAGCAAACACAAAUCCCUCCAAAAAAAAAUAUAUUCUUUUUUAAUACCAGUUUAUAAGCUGAUAAUAUCCAGCUAAAAAAUCAACCACAACGAACAAUAUGCAAAAGUUUGAGUCACAAUACAAAAAUGAAGGAACAAACAUAAGCAAACAGAUGCAUAAUGUGAUAGAAGCGGAUAGAAGAAUACCUCUUAGCUCGUUUUGGGUCGACAGUCCAGAGCUCGGCGAGCUUAUCAGGAGCCAUGGCCUUCUUGGCCUCUAUGCUGUCCAAAGACGCGUCAACCGAGUUGCUAUGCCGGUGCCUCGGCCUCGCACUCAUCUCUCCACCAAGCUCGACACCUGUCUCCGCGGAGCCUCCGGGAUUCUCGACUUUUGGGUCGGAGGGUCCAUCGUCGAGCUUGGAUCCGAGCUUCUCGAUGUCCAUGUAGGUGCAGAAGAGGUCGUCCUCGGAGCCGCCCAGCUCCUCGAAGCUGCCGGAUGGGCCGUCGAACGGGUCCUGGAGCAGAUCCAGGUCGUCGGGGAUCCGGAAUUGGACUUCGGAUUGGGCUCGACGGUGGUAGGAGCCCCGGAACGAAAGGCUGGGACUUGCGUCCGGAAACGGCGUCGUCAUGCGUGGCCUCUGAGAGGCCUGAGAGCUAGAGCUCGGAUCCGGUUUCGGGUUCGCCGGAUCUUGCAUUUUUCUUCGACUCUGGAGCUCCCUGCUGUCUGCUGUCUGCCUCUCUUUUUUCUCUCUCCUCGUGUCCGAAACUAGUUGUGUUGACAGUGAGUGUUCCUCACUCCUCCAGGACCAGAUUAAGUUGGAUGGACGUUUAGGAGCGAAAAAUGAGAAACCAUGUUACACGGCGCCGUUUCUGUGUGGACCGACCGAGGUUAGAUAGUCAACUGAGAUUAUGGAUUGGGCUUAAGGUUUAAGAUCUUCUAUUUACGAUUAUGGCCCAACGUGUUCUACGAUUGGGCUUGAGGCUAGUUUGUUACACCGAAUUAAACUCGGUGUCGAUGAUACUUUUUUCUUCCCAACAUUGAAAGAUUUCCCGAGUUUGAAUGCGAGAAACGGAGAGAAAGCAUGAGACAAGUAUGCAAUAUUGGAGAUAUGAAAAGUGACCGCAUUGUUGUAAAGUUUUGUACAUGUGAAGUUACAAAUCCUUGUGUAUACUACCACAACAAUUGAGGGUUUUGAGUAGGCUCCUCCUCCUUUCCUACAUCAUCAAGUAUAAAUGUCAAUAGUCUCCGAUGGCCAUGUUAGGUUGUCUUGGCUGCAGGCAAACAUCUUGGUCCAAAGCACCACUCGGGUUCUUAGAACUAAGCUUAUGCAGAUGUUUUGGUUGAAGCUGCUCCACUCCACAUCACAUGUUGUUCACCUAAUUAAUGAAGGUGGUGAUGAAUUUGAGACAAGGUUAGCAAAGUUGGUGAGGGCAUUAACGUGUUCCAUGUAUAUAUGAUGUAACUUGUAUGGAGGUAGUCAAUCCAAGCAGACAGACAGGUGUCUUGCUCUAGAACUUUGAGGGUCCAUUGGACGUUUUGACUAGACAUAUGUGGUCCCAUCUCUUCAUCAAUCACGGUAUAGAAAGAGCCACAUGAAUUGAAUGUGCCGUCACAAGUAACUUGGGAAGAUAAUUUAACAUGUCCCUGUCAAAAUAGAAGGAAGAAGGGAAUCAAUUUGGCAAACCACAUUCAUUUUGAAUACGGAAAAUAACAAGGUUUCCAUAAAUUUGGACUUGACAGAAAAGACUAGAGAAUGAUGAUUUCUGGCUGAUUUCUCUCUCUCUCUCUCUCUUAACAGUUACUGUGGUGAUUUUUACUACAUGGGUAAAAGUAAAGUAAGUUACUUAGUCAAAAAUUAAUGGUUUUCGUGACAAUAAGAAUAGAUGCAUGUGAAUAUGUCAAUGUCUAUAAUUUAAGUUCCAAUUCUUCCUGUUAGAAUGAUGCUUGAAAACUUGCAAAAAGUUUAACAAGAGAUGGGAGCAAAUCAUAAUCUUGUAUCAAAUAUUAAUCAAUUAAUUAAUAAGAAAUGAUGGGGGGGGGGAGCAAAUAUCGACAUUAGCAUUAUGAUAAAAGAUUAGGAUUUAAGAAGAAGGAUGAAGAUUGGCUAAAUUGGAGAAGCAAUGAUUUGACUUUUCAAUAAAGGAGGGUGAGUGUAGGAGUGGAAGAAGGACUUGGUGCUUGGAAUAAUAAGCUUUACUUUCUUUUAAAUCACAAUUAGGAUCAGGUACCUUAAUUAAAAUUCUUAGGCUCUUGCUUUAAUUUUAGGAAAAUACUAGAUAAGUAUGAGCUUUUACAUUCUUGCCAAUAGCAGUGUGACAUGUCUAUAGAAGUUUUUCUUUUUAUGUUUUUGAUGAAUUAUUUGUGCAUGUGUUUCAAAUUGUGAUUUGCAGAAAAAAAGAGUAUCUCCUUACCUGUAAGGAGGUAAAUAGUACUCUUAUUUUUACUUUGGUAUGCUAAUGAGCACACUUUUUUUUUCCCUGUACUUGAUUCUCUGAAGUUUAAUCUUCUGUAUGUCAUUUCUCUCAACAAUAAUGCACACUCUGGAAUUGAAAAGACACCCAUCUUAGUCUCAUUUGGUAUCCAUCCUCCUAUCUGUAACCCAGUGUCCUUCCUUACCCACAAUCCAAAUACUACAAAACUUGCCCAUAACCCUCUCACAAUCUGCAGCAUCUACCAAAUGAUCAAUCUCUCUCUCUCUCUCUCUCUCUCUCUCUCUCUCUCUUAGUGGAAGAAGCAGAAAAGGCUUCAUAUAAACCUUUGAGCCUUUAAGCCUCUUUGGUAAGAAUAUAUGAGUCAUACUUUCUUCUCUUUUUCUUCAUUCCAUGUCUUUUUAGAAGUUAGGGUUGUUCUGAGGGUUAUAAAUCUUAAUUUAAGUGAUUAUUAACUUCAAGUUUCAACCUUUUGGAGUCUUGAUGAUUACUAUUCACCACCACUUCCAUAAUCAGAGAGACCAUCAAGAUAUGCUUUUUUUGAAAGUCUUUUUUAUCUAGUUGGAAUCCUGACAAACAUUACCAUAACACAAAGGCCCCUCUCUAUCUCUCUCUCAGUUUUGACAAGAGAGAUAUCAAAGAAGAACCACAAGGUAAGAAACAACUAGUCCCCACUUAAUUUUAUGCAGUUUCCCUCACUACCAUGAAUUCUACCAGUCUUUGAAAUCCCCCACAACUCAGCUACCACCAGCCUUGCAUAGAAUUCCAACACGAAACACAGAGGUAGCUAGAGUGGAACAAAAAAUAAGAGAGAGCUUUGCUCUGUACAUGGGGAAGAUGAAUUCCCUUCUCUCAGUCUCCUUUGUGGUUCGAUUUGGAGCCAAAAACCCAUGGAGAUAUGAAACUCCAAGCUUAUUUGCAUAAGCUGUUAAGCAAAAAGAUACAAGCUUUAGCUUAUUACAAAGCCGGAGGAAGGUGGGUUCUGUUUAGUUUUGCUGAUUCUCAAUCUAGUGAAGCAACCAAUGGUAACUCUUCAUCACCGUCCACACCGCCUACUUCUAGACCCAUCAGGAUCAUCAUCAUCAUCAUCAUCAUCAUCAUCAUCAUCAACCACACCAGACCCAGCCAAUGGAAGCAGGACACGUGGGACAUACACCAAUGAGGCCAACUUUGACACCAACAUGGUCAUCAUCCUAGCAGCCCUGCUCUGUGCACUGAUAUUUGCUCUGGGGCUAAACUCAAUCGUGCGCUGUGCUUUAAGAUGCAGCAGAAGGUUCUCUUUUGAGACGCCAGAUGAGACCGCUGCGCGCUUAGCAGCCACAGGGCUGAAAAAGAGCACAUUGCGUCAAAUUCCCAUUGUGGCAUAUGGCUCAGGGGCUAAUAUUCCUGCCACAGACUGCCCAAUUUGCCUUGGAGAAUUUCAAGAUGGCCAGAAAGUGAGGCUGCUGCCAAAAUGCAACCAUGGAUUUCAUGUCAGGUGCAUAGACACUUGGUUUUUGUCACACUCUUCGUGCCCAACUUGCCGCCACUCGUUGCUUGAACAGCCAGCUGCAGCUUCAGAUUCUGCAGAAGUUGCUGAUGCUAGACAUACUGCUGGAAAUGCAUCCUCUGGAGGUCAAGGUGAUGUGCCAAUAUCUGUUGAUGAAGCCAGUUGAUAAUGUUUUAGACUUAGAGAGAGAGAGAUUUUAUUUAUUUAUAAUAUUGUUGGUUUACAAGUAGUUUUUAUUUUUUGUUUAUCAAAUAUGUAAUCUUAUCUGAGGUGCUAUGGCAAUGCCUACAUACAUAUGAGGUUUUUGAGGAAAUAAUAUAAAUUUUUAGCCAAAAUUGAGCACCUCAUAUGUUGGAUGAUAUUAUCUACUCUAAUAUUGUAGUGGUGUUUAACUUGAAUGUGAAGGAAGAUCCAAUCCAAUUAUAAAUUUCAGCUGAUUCAUUUUAUAUGAAUGUUUUGCCGUCUUGGUAAUGCAAAGCAAUUAAGCAAAUAAAAACUCCCAACCAUGCGUCCGAGUUCGAAUCCCUUCUCCAUAAUUUAGAUUAAAUUAAAGUAGAACAUUUUGCUUUUUCUUUUUUCCUUGCUUCCAUUUGUAAAAGUUAAGGCAGACAAAUGCAAAUAUGAUGAAAACAUAGCAUUUUUCAAGAACUCAAGCUGAAUUAAUUUUUCAUCCAUGAUCCAUAUGCACCUUUCUAUUUUCCUUGUUUGAUUUGAUGGGCAUGCAAUUAUUUAUUUUGGUAUAAUAUAUAAUAUAUAUAUAUGGGACACAAGUAAAAAAAGAAACAUUAUUUCGUGCUCAAGGAAUGGAAUCUCAAACUCUUUUUUCCCCUCCAUUCUUCACCUUUUUUGGCCCACAGGUAAGAAAUUUUAUUCCUGCACUACCUCAAAAAUCAUGUAUUUAAGUAAUGAGCUGCAGAAGGAUCAGUACUUGUGGGUGUGAUGAGGACAUUUUCUUAAGCAUCAUUUGCCGAUGGACCACUCCCACAACCACACGCACCCUCUUCUUUUCAACCUGAUUGAUCAAUAUCUAUCUUUAAGAUUUUUCUGGAUUCCAAAGAUUACUAAGAAGACAUUUUUGUGUAGGGAUGCUUGAGGAACAAUAUUUGUGUACUCAUGACUUUUGGGGGAGGCAGUAAUUAAUGUAGUCAUGUUUCAUGUUUCAAUGCUUUGUGGCAACUUCUAUUGGUAGAAUCGUUUUUUCUUUUAAUUAAUGGGUUCGGGGAUUCAAAUUUAGGAUAUGUGCUAAAAUUGAGACGAGACGCAUCGUUAAAACAAGAGCUAGUUAAUUUUGAAUCUUGAUAGAACCGUUUAAACGAUAGGCGUCCACUAAAACACCCACUAGCUAUGCUACUACAUCAUAAAAGGGUACAUGAAGGUACCAAUACAGUACAUAUAUAGCUCGUCAUGGAUGAGCUACUUGAGCAUACAUAAAUGGUCAAGAGCAAAUCCAACUUGGAAUUUUUGGAUUGUUGUGGACUAUAAGGACUUAGUGAGCUUGUGGUUCACAAUAAACUGAAUAUAGCAGAUGAUAUGAUUUCUUUCCGAGAAUGAAUAUUAAGAAGAAUUCCAACCCCCCUCGACCCCCCUUCUGUUUCAAGGAUCCUUCUACUACAUCUUUUUAAACAUAUUUCAUUUUGAUUUGUUGUAAUUGAAAAUUCACAAGGUAGCUACUAGCUUAGACAAGUUGUUUUUCAUUUUUUAUUUUUAUACAAUCAAUUAAGGGGAAGGAAAAUGGAGGGGGAACUCACACACACAAGUACCAUAGGACUUCAACACAAUACCACAUGAGAACACACCAAGACCUGGACCGUCCAACUAACACACCUAGUGCUAUAAUACCCUUGUUAAUUUAGGCAAGUUUUAUUUGGGGAAAAAUACAAAGAAAAAUUUGAAGUACCUAUGUUAAAAAAUGAGAGUGUGGCAUGAUGAUUGAUAGGUGUCAUUGUGCUAAUAUACAAUUGAGUCUAUUGAUUGGAGUCAUUCUAUAAUGAGGGCCUUAUAUAUGGCAUUUAUGUGAGGUCCUAUCUCUUAAUCGUUGAACUAAAUAAACCAAUUUGAACCAAUAAUUUAGAAAUAGAAUCUCACUUAAAGGGUCAUAUGUACAGCCCUCAUUAUAGAAUUCUUGUUAUUGAUUGAGGCUGGUGGUUGGAAAAUUGGCCAAGGCCUUGCAACAGUAGGGCCCAAGUAUAGAUGUCAAUAAGUUGAUUUGGGCCUUGAGAAGACACGGAUUGGCUUCGGCCCCUUUGAGGUCCUUAAAUGUCUUAGCCCAUUUUACAACAUGCUAUUUUAGUUGAAAGUAUUUUAUAGUGAGGGCCACCUAACCUAAGUCUUAGAUGAAGUCCUAUAUUUUAAAUGUUGGAUCAAACUAACUAAUUUGUUCCAACGACUAUUCAAUUUGAUCAAACGGUUAAGAGAUAAGUCCCUCACUGUAGAAUUCUUGAUUUCAGUUGAGGUUGCAAAGCUGUAGAAAGAAAAGGGAAAGUACGAAUAUUAUUUUCCAUAAGCAUAAAAAACUUGGAAGUUGGAUGGACAGAAGUCUAUAUAUAUCAUUCAUUUUAUUAAACAGAACAGAGCACAAGAAACACCAGGUUUUCCCAUUAGUUAACAAACUUCAAAAUGAGCCCUUGCAAUUGCAAACAGCAGCAACCCAUAAAAAGAGCCCAAAACCAUACAACAAAAUGCUCUCACUUAGUCAACUCAGCUGAGAGUGUGUUAGCCAAGGAUGAUAUGGUUGAAGGAGACACCCCUCUAGUCCCACCCAAAUACCAUUUCUUGAUGUUCUCAACCACAUUUGCAUUCUCCACCUUGAUUUUUGACUCUUCCUUCCCUUCAGUGUGAAAAGAAAUCUGCAUACACAUAAACAAAUAAGUAGAAAUUAUAUCUAAUUAGCUGAAAGCAAUAUUUCCUUAACAAACCAAUGUUAUUUAGUUUGAUUCUUACCUCAGCCGUGGCAGAAGUUGCUGGAAAAUGAAACGUGAUGGUGGAAUCUUUCUUGAAGUACUUUGAUUGGAAGAACUCAACAAUUUUCUCCAAGGCUUCCUCCUCCUCUUCUUCAUACUUGUCAUCAGCUGCCAAUCUAUCCCUCACAGCACUCUCAAGCUGCACCCCAUAUUGAGACCCUUUGAUCUCCUUGAUCACCACAACCCUAAGGAAUUUCUCAACAGGAGCUACAUGCAUCCACAAUUUGAUCAAGGGAUUAGAAAAAAGUAAUUGAAGACUGCAACUUUUGGGAUGUAUGGUAUUGCAAUUUUACCAGAAAUAAGAGCAUCAAAGAAGUCAUCAUCUUCUGCAAGCUCAUUUGCUUUCUUGGUCUUCCAUUGUUGAAGAUGUGACACAACUUCAGGGUCUAAGUAAACCCCAAUUGCUGUGAACUUGAUUUGAAGAAAGUGUAUCUCAAUGUCAGUGAUCCCUGCCAAACCCAAUUACCCAUUAGCAAUUUUUCAUUUUCUUUUGCUUAUCAAACACAAAAAUGGUAUGUUUAGCAAGUGCAAAAAUGGCUUACCAUGACCCAGCAGAGACAAUGGCUUGGUGGUUGUGAUCUGAGAAGGAAAGGGAACAUCAUCUACCAAUACCACUUCAGUACCCACUGUGGUGCAUAAAGAUACAAAAUUUAGUCAUGCUUAAAUUCAAGAACAAAACCCAACAAAAAUAAAAAAAAAUAAAAACAACAUGAUUUCAGAGAGAGACAGAGAGCUCUUACUCUUAGCGUGGCUGUGAGUUUUGAAGGGUAUGAUUAACAGGCAGCUAUGGAGAAGGUGAAGGAAGUAGAUAGAAAUGUUGUCUGAGAAAACAAUGGGAAUAUAGCUGAGGUUUAGGCCUCUAUAUAUCCUGGGCUGUGGUGUUCAAGCUGACAAUGCCUUCCAGUCUUGGCAAGGUGGUAGGUGUUGCGGUGAGGUUGAAAAGCUUGUGAUCGCAUCUCACUUUCUCCAACUUAAAUUUUAGUUAGAGUUUCAUUUGUAUAAAAUUGGGUCUUCAAUUGACACGUCACUCAGCUAAUUGCCAUAAAAAACAAUUCGGGGUGUCCUGUGGAGAAAAUUCUCACACAUAGUUGUUGUAUACAACCGGUGAUACGAUAAAAUUUUUCAAUCUUAUAAAACAAGCUUCAAUUUUAAGGGCAGAAAAAAAAAAAUUCAAGUAAUUUGAUAUGAAUAAUGUGUUGGCAGAGGGGAUACAUGAAACAGUCACACCAAGAAGGUCACUUGGUUUGUGAGGCACCAAAGAUGGUCUCUUUGUUAUUCUUCAUCAAAUUUUGUUCAACAAGCUCCCUUGUUGUGGGUGAACCUGUCCUAUAUUACAGGUUAGGGGCAUAUAUGAAAAAAGAAUAUCCUAUUUCAUUUUCGAUUUGGCUGAAAAUGAAUAUUGGAUGGCCUCCAUCUACCCACGUGUUCAACAAUUCAAGCUUCUAACAACCACUCCUUCUGCCUACCUCCCCUAUUUAAUCUCUUCUGGUAGCACAGUUUCUAAGUUAUGGCUGCUGUACAGAACAGGGGUUCUCUUUCGUAUUUUCUUUUUCUUUUUUUUAAUUAAAGGGAAAAAUAUCUUUAUUUAAUUUUGUCUUAGACGGGACGGGAAAUAGAAUUGAACUUAAGUGAAGUUAUUAUUCAGAUGAAUCAUGUGACUAAUAUGAAAGUCCAUCUCUAUAAUUUAUAUAUGACCCCCUCAUUAUAAAACGACUCGUUAAGAGUGUUUACACAUCCGCUCAAAAUCAAGUGUGCAAAUCUCGCAUUCCUGAAUAUUGUAGAGUGAGGAACGCUAGGGAACAAAACUGGGACCUAGUCUCAAUCUUGUUUUGGCCCACGCAUCAAACGAGGCCUCA
rnacentral:lncRNA from 1 species